UAAGCCAUGCAAGUCGAACGAGUUUAGGCUCGUGGCGUACGGCUCAGUAACACGUGGAUAACCUACCCUUAGGACCGGGAUAACCUUGGGAAACUGAGGACAAUACUGGAUAGGCAAUUUUUCCUGUAAUGGUUUUUUGUUUAAAUGUUUUUUCGCCUAAGGAUGGGUCUGCGGCCGAUUAGGUAGUUGGUUAGGUAAUGGCUUACCGAGCCGUUGAUCGGUACGGGUUGUGAGAGCAAGAGCCCGGAGAUGGAACCUGAGACAAGGUUCCAGGCCCUACGGGGUGCAGCAGGCGCGAAACCUCCGCAAUGUGAGAAAUCGCGACGGGGGGAUCCCAAGUGCCAUUCUUAACGGGAUGGCUUUUCAUUAGUGUAAAAAGCUUUUGGAAUAAGAGCUGGGCAAGACCGGUGCCAGCCGCCGCGGUAACACCGGCAGCUCUAGUGGUAGCAAUUUUUAUUGGGCCUAAAGCGUCCGUAGCCGGUUUAAUAAGUCUCUGGUGAAAUCCUGUAGCUUAACUGUGGGAAUUGCUGGAGAUACUAUUAGACUUGAGACCGGGAGAGGUUAGAGGUACUCCCAGGGUAGAGGUGAAAUUCUGUAAUCCUGGGAGGACCGCCUGUUGCGAAGGCGUCUAACUGGAACGGUUCUGACGGUGAGGGACGAAAGUUAGGGGCGCGAACCGGAUUAGAUACCCGGGUAGUUCUAACUGUAAACGAUGCGGACUUGGUGUUGGGGUGGCUUUGAGCUGUCCCAGUGCCGAAGGGAAGCUGUUAAGUCCGCCGCCUGGGAAGUACGGUCGUAAGACUGAAACUUAAAGGAAUUGGCGGGGGAGCACCACAACACGUGGAGCCUGCGGUUUAAUUGGAUUCAACGCCGGACAUCUCAACAGAGGCGACAGCUGUAUGAUAGCCAGGUUGAUGACUUUGCUUGACUAGCUGAGAGGUGGUGCAUGGCC
rnacentral:rRNA from 1 species